AGAGUUUGAUCCUGGCUCAGGAUGAACGCUAGCUACAGGCUUAACACAUGCAAGUCGAGGGGCAGCAUGGUCUUAGCUUGCUAAGGCCGAUGGCGACCGGCGCACGGGUGAGUAACGCGUAUCCAACCUGCCUUACACUCUUGGACAGCCUUCUGAAAGGGAGAUUAAUACAAGAUGUUAUCAUGAGUAAGCAUUUUCGCAUGAUUAAAGGUUUACCGGUGUAAGAUGGGGAUGCGUUCCAUUAGAUAGUAGGCGGGGUAACGGCCCACCUAGUCUUCGAUGGAUAGGGGUUCUGAGAGGAAGGUCCCCCACAUUGGAACUGAGACACGGUCCAAACUCCUACGGGAGGCAGCAGUGAGGAAUAUUGGUCAAUGGACGAGAGUCUGAACCAGCCAAGUAGCGUGAAGGAUGAAGGUUCUAUGGAUUGUAAACUUCUUUUAUACGGGAAUAAACGAAUCCACGUGUGGAUUUUUGCAUGUACCGUAUGAAUAAGGAUCGGCUAACUCCGUGCCAGCAGCCGCGGUAAUACGGAGGAUCCGAGCGUUAUCCGGAUUUAUUGGGUUUAAAGGGAGCGUAGAUGGGUUGUUAAGUCAGUUGUGAAAGUUUGCGGCUCAACCGUAAAAUUGCAAUUGAUACUGGCAGUCUUGAGUACAGUUGAGGUAGGCGGAAUUCGUGGUGUAGCGGUGAAAUGCUUAGAUAUCACGAAGAACUCCGAUUGCGAAGGCAGCUUACUAACCUGUAACUGACAUUGAUGCUCGAAAGUGUGGGUAUCAAACAGGAUUAGAUACCCUGGUAGUCCACACGGUAAACGAUGAAUACUCGCUGUAGGCGAUAUACAGUCUGCGGCCAAGCGAAAGCAUUAAGUAUUCCACCUGGGGAGUACGCCGGCAACGGUGAAACUCAAAGGAAUUGACGGGGGCCCGCACAAGCGGAGGAACAUGUGGUUUAAUUCGAUGAUACGCGAGGAACCUUACCCGGGCUUAAAUUGCAACCGAAUAUGGCGGAAACGCUAUAGCUAGCAAUAGCGGUUGUGAAGGUGCUGCAUGGUUGUCGUCAGCUCGUGCCGUGAGGUGUCGGCUUAAGUGCCAUAACGAGCGCAACCCUUGCCGAUAGUUACUAACAGGUUAUGCUGAGGACUCUGUCGGGACUGCCAUCGUAAGAUGUGAGGAAGGUGGGGAUGACGUCAAAUCAGCACGGCCCUUACGUCCGGGGCUACACACGUGUUACAAUGGGGGGUACAGAGGGCUGCUACCACGCAAGUGGAUGCCAAUCCCAAAAACCUCUCUCAGUUCGGAUUGAAGUCUGCAACCCGACUUCAUGAAGCUGGAUUCGCUAGUAAUCGCGCAUCAGCCACGGCGCGGUGAAUACGUUCCCGGGCCUUGUACACACCGCCCGUCAAGCCAUGGGAGCCGGGGGUACCUGAAGUGCGUAACCGCAAGGAGCGCCCUAGGGUAAAACUGGUGACUGGGGCUAAGUCGUAACAAGGUAGCCG
rnacentral:rRNA from 1 species